GAGGGCCCGGCCGCCAUGGCGGCCCCGGAGCUCGGUGGGGUGAACAGCCUCGUGCUCCCUGAGGGAGAAGCCUCCGGCUGCAGGGACGUGUUAGUGGUUUGUGCACGAAAGACACAAAUGGCUGAGUCACGGCAUGGGGCAGGAUGAAGGGAUUGUAGUGGGGCAUCUGGGCCAGCCAGGGUGUCCCAGAGCACAUGGCACAGGAUUGUGUCCAGAGGGGUUUGGAAUAUCCUCGGUGAGGGACACUCUGCAGCCUCUCUGGGCAAUGAAGCACUGAACAGGCUCCCCAGGGAAUGGGCACGGCCUCAGGGAUGGCAGAGCUUCAGGAGUGGCAGAACAUUGCUGCUGUGUGCCAGGCUGAGAUCAGUGCUCCGGACGGGUCCCUUCCAACUCAGGAAAUUGUGUUAAUCUGUUAUUCUGGUUCUAGUGCUUGGUCACCCACACGGAAAUGUUCUUCCUCGUGUUCGGGUGGAACUUUGCAGGCAUUAGUUUCUGCCCAUUGCCUCUUGUCUCAUUGCUGGGCCCCAGGGAGCAGAGCCUGCUCCAUCCCUGACACCUCCCUGCAGAUAUUGAUGGAUAUUGAUGAGGUCCCCAAGCAGCUUUUAAAAUAGGAGAGUGAGUUUAGGAAGGAACAAAAGAAUCACAGAAUCAUUUAGGUGGGAAAAGAUCUCUGAAGUCAAGCCCAGCCUGUGCCAAAUCACCACCAUCCCAAGCAGACCGGAGUGCCACAUGGACAUCCCUUAAAUGUUCCAAGGUCGAUGAAAAAGCUGGAAGAGCUGGAGCCAUGGGAUGUGCACGUCCUUCACGACAGCACAGCAGGAGGAAUUAGCAGCCAUCAAUCAUUUGGUGUGCAGACCUCUGAGAUCCGAAGGAGACACAAUUCCAUUUGUUUUCUCCUCUGUCUGGAUUACCUGAGCUCCUCAAAGCUCACUCAACAGCUUACCUGAGCAGAUUCCAGAGUGGGACUCCAGCAAUUAAGUCCAGCACUUAAGAAGAGCCCAGCACUCCUGUAAAUGGAUAACAGGAAUAUCUGUCACUGGAUUAGACAGAAUCAAAAUGAACCCCCUGCUAUUUUCAAAGGUCUAGGAGGUGAGUGGAAACUCCCCCAAAUAAGCCAAAAAAAACGUGUUUAUUUAGCUUCUCCUCUGGAAUAUGGAAUGGUAACUGAGGGGAGGAGCUGGGCAGAGCUGGGUUUCACUCUGUGAGGUGAGGAAAGCAAAUGUGAGCAGCCCUUGGUUAAAAUGCCACCUACACUGGUGGGAAACUCCCCAACCCUCAGGAAUUUAUCAUUAUCAUGGGGACACCCAUGGCUUGCUGUUCCCCCCAGUGCCAGGUGGAAAUUGAGUCAGAAAAGACGUGUUUCUUUCUCAGAAAGGCUUUUCUUAGAUGGGCUCUGCCAGCUGAGCUCAACCCCUCAGUUUGUCAUCUGCAAAAUGGAGGCAGGAUGAAUUUUUACCAGGUUUAAUUAGUGCAAAGUGCUCUCUGUAGCAAAGAGAGCUUUUGGUCCGAGGAUCUCGGGCCAAGUACUCAAAUUACAGAAGCUGCAGCCAGCAGCCCACGCUGCAGAGCCCCUGCUGUGGUCUGAGUUCACGUAAUAAAUACAUCAAUAGGUGAGCAGCAGAGGAGAUCUGCAGAGUUCUGCUGGUCCUCUCACGAUGGUUUCCCCUCCAGCAGCUUUUGGGCAGAACUUCCUUCAGUCUGGGCUUGCAAAAUGUUUUGUAAGUGGGAGCCAGGAGAGUACAACCAAGCAGGACAGUACAAACAGCUCCCUCUUCCCUGUAGCACUGCUCAAGCCACGCUGGCCAUGGGAUAUUUAUCCCAAGGAAUAAAGGGAGAGUGCACUCACAGGGAGAGUGCUACAGAGUGCUGCUGGUGACACUGACGCAGCUGGACAGCCUGUGCUCUGCAGGAGAAGGCAAUUUUCGUGCUGCUGUUCUGUCUGGUACUCAGGGCUGUACCAAAGAAAUGAGAUUUCACUUGCUGAGUCAGGAGCAAAGCCUGUGUUUGACAGGAGAUGGGCUGAGUCACCUCUCUGAGUUCAUCCCCAGGCUGCUUCCCAAAAGCACAGCUCCUGGAACGAGCUGAGAUCCCUCAGAUGCUGGGAAAAGUGGGAGCAGGAAAGCAGCCUGAGCUGGUCUGUUCUUGUCAAAAGGCCGAGCCUCUGGAGCCACAUCUGGCUCCUGGCUCCGAGGGAUUGUGGCAGCUGCAGAGGCACAGCAGGAGCCCGGGGCUGACAGCUCCUGGUGGCUUUGGCCACACUCACCCUGGAGCUCUGUUAGAUCUUCUCCCCACCAGAUGAACCCUGCAGGGAUGGUCUCCAGGGUGGAGACAAGCUGGGAUUUGUCACCUUGUGCCACGUUCACGUGUGGCUGUUCAAAGCUCUGGGAAUAAAGAGCAGCAGAUGUGGAUCAGCAGGACCAGAGCAGCUCAUUCCCACUUCAGCUAAAUUCCAAAAUGAGCUUGACAUGGUGCACAAAACCAUUUUGAAGGCUGUUAGAGGAGUUUUAUAGCAGACAAUAAAAGAAGUUUCCUUAAGCCAGCUGCACUGGGAGUUGAAGUGAAGUGAAGCUCCUGCUGGCUGCUUACUCAUCCCUCAGCAGAGAAGUGAGAGCAGAGACACAGCCCCUGCUUUAAACCACUUGCAAGUCAUUCCCCAGGAACAGCCUCAGAGAGGAAGGAUGGGCUAGGGUCACUCUUACCCUGUGACUCAUUUAAUCCCUCGUGUGAGCACACAGCAACAGCAGGAGUGGCACAGACACACCAGGCUCCUCCAGCGAGGGGCAGAAGGCAAAAUAAUAAACAAGAGGUGCUCAGGUAGCACGAGCAGCUGCUGAACUGCCCAAAUCCAGCAGGGUGGUCACUCACUCACGGGAGAAGCAGAACUCCCGCAGGCAGAGGGAGAACUGGGCCCAAAAAGAGCCCCAGAGGCAGCUCCAGCUCUGGGACUGGCGCUGGAGACGCCCUGCAGUUCCUCCUUUCCCUGGCAGCUGGAGCAAGGCUCGUCACGGGAGCGCAGGGCGGGCAGUUCCAGGAGCACAGAUGCCACAGGGCUGGCCAGGAUCUCUAUUUAUAACCCCCUGCCAGCACAGCUCUCCCUCCGUGCUCCUGCUCGCAGGUGAGGGCACAGGCCGGGCCCUGAAAGCCCCAAAAGCUGAGUGAAAACAGAAAGAGGAAGGACUAGCAACCCCUUUUACCAAGAAUCAAGAAUCAGAGAUGAAAGGACAAAAAGAAAUCCACAGAAACCUGCAACAAUGAACGCCGACUUCUUCCCCGAAAAUUGCCCUGUAGUUGGUUAACCCUUCCCUGCCUGAAGUGCCACCUCUCUGCUGCUCUUAAUUGGUGCCAAGCGGUGUCACUGAAGUGUUCUGCAAGCUCUGGCCCCUCUUCAGGGUUGGAUUGUUUCCAGCAGAGGUGGGGGGAUGGCUGUGGGUCAGCCCCAGCCCCGUGGCCAGGGUGGGAAGCAGCAGCCCAGGACAGCAUCCCUGCCCCUGCCCCAGGGAUGAUCCACUCCAGAGUGAGCCCUUGCCAGCUCCAAGGGUUCAGGGUGGCAGCUGACCACGGAUCCAAGUCAAAGAGUCCCUUUGUUUCGUGGGGAGGAUUAAACCACGAGCUGCUUGUGAGCUGAACUUUGAAGUGUCUCCUCAGUGAUCUGAAACGCGGUCAUGCAACAAAGAGAGACCUCUACAAAUACUCUUUUUGUGUUUGAAGUUGGAGACCAUCCACUGGUUUAUUUUUAGGCACACAUUUGCACUGGCCCUGUUACAAUCCUGCCUCUGUUCUCGUGCAAUAAAAGGCAGAGAGGAUUCACUUGACCUCCAGUAUCAAAUACAGAGAAAAUAAGGCAUUCAUCUGCAAAAGAACCACCCAAAAUAGCAGGGAGGAGGUCAUGCUGUGAUAUGGACUGCUAGUGUUGAAAGCCAAGAAAAAGGAGGAUUAUAGGAGCUGGCAGGCUUCUUCUAAUGACACAUUAAUGGAAACUGCUAGAAAAUUAUAUGGAGAUGCUAAUUAGUAUUCGUAGGUUUAAGGACUUGAGAUCUUUCUGUUUUACACUAAACACAUGCCUGAGAGUAAGAAGUAAUCCCUGAUGACGUGAGCUCUGUUUUCUUUGAGGAUUCCUUCUAGAUCCAGAGCAUUCCCACUGCCACACGUGGCUUUAGCUCAGAAACUGAUGCUCCUGCAUCAUCAGGUUCCCUAAACUCCCCACAGCCCCUCCUCAGGCUUUACAACACCCUGAAGGAGGAAAUCAUCACUGCAUUCAGUUUCUGUCUUGUCCCUCCUUGAAGAAGAUGGGGAAAAGAGCCCAGAGGACCUGCCUGGAUGUUUAAUUUCUGUCCCAUCUGCAGCAGGCAUUUCCCACCGACAAGGGAAGGAAGGUUAAAACCUCUCAUGACAGGUUAACAGUAUGAUUUGCAGCAACAGCUUAAAUAAAUGUUUGCAGGCACCAAAGAGUAGCAGGCAGCUAAUCCUUUAAAGACUUAAGAGCAGCUAGUACUUCAGCCCAAGUAAAUAUUUCAAAACAGAAUUAAUUAGUGGUGACUAGUGGAUUUGCUGCCCUUUGCUUUAGCACCCCAGGAUGGUUCCUCCACUGAAUUUUUGCUUCAGUGUUUCACAGGAGCUGAAAAUCCUCUCAAAGGAGAUUCAUCAGAGUUUUGUUCCUCUCUGGAACUGCAGAGCUGGAAAAGCUCCACGUGAAUCUCAUGGAUCUGGUGUGUUCCCUUUGUGCUGCCCCAGGAAUGAGGACAAGAGCACAGCUCAGGAUCCAGCCCAAGUACAGUGUGGAGGGAAGGAAAUGCCACUUCCUGAUUCUUAUCAGGAGAAAGCUCUGUCCGUGCAGGCCGCAGAACAGAGCUCACAGUAACUGCCUUAUUUCCCAUUCAAAGCAGUUUUUUAAUGCCUUCCUGGACAGGGGAAAGCAGGGAAGGAAAGGCCUCGGGGUGACAAGUCCUGAACCAGCACAGACCACAGUCUGCCUGAGCCCAGAGCAGCAAACCAGUCAAUUCAGCCAACUGGAAACAAAAAUUGCUCAUCCACAGUCGAGUUUUCCCCCCAUGAUCCUUGGCUCCACCUCAGAACAAAGCCAGCUCUCUUGAAGAAUGAAGUCCUCUGGAUCCGUGUAUUUCCAGUGGUCGCAAUCUCAUUUUUCUUUCCUAGAAGUGUUUCCUUUUUUCCCCCAGUUAAGAUAUAAAAAACCCUUGUGGAGAGGACUUUUUCUUUUGGCCAUCCCUCACACAGCCCUGCUUGUUUAUCCACUCUGCUGCCUGAGGACUUUACUUCUGUCAAAGAAAUGUAAAUUCAUGAAUUCCUUUCCUCCAGGAGCACCAGGAUGUUCUUAGAACCACAGGAGCAGAGAACACCCUAAAUUGGAAGGAACCCACAAGGAUCAUCCAAGUCCAAUUUCUUAUUUAUUCCCCUGAGGUGACCCUUCCUUUUCAGCUUUCUUCAUCUUCUCCCUCCCUCUUUGCUUUUUCCACUUCCACUUCCUCUCCCCGUCAUCCAAACCCAAAUGAACCCGGCUUCUUGUCCCCUAAGAGAGGCUGAUUCAUGUUUUGAGCUGUGACACAUUCCAGCUGCUGCCAGCAGCACGUGGCCCUGCUCCCCUGGCCCAGAUGUGCCUCCAGAGGUGGAGAGGGGGAUCCUGAAUUCAACCAGAUCCUUCCUCAGAGCGGGAUUCACACAGAGACGAGCGAGGGAGGAGGUGAAGGUUAAAAAAGAGCUUGGCUCAGGGUUUGGGUUCAAUCUGGAGGAGGAAAAAAGGAGGGAAAAAGGAGG